rnacentral:rRNA from 1 species
UACGUAGGGUGCAAGCGUUAAUCGGAAUUACUGGGCGUAAAGCGCACGUAGGCGGCUAUUCAAGUCGGGGGGUGAAAGCCCGGGGCUCAACCCCGGAACUGCCCUCGAAACUAGGUAGCUAGAAUCUUGGAGAGGCGAGUGGAAUUCCGAGUGUAGAGGUGAAAUUCGUAGAUAUUCGGAAGAACACCAGUGGCGAAGGCGACUCGCUGGACUUGUGGUGACGCUGAGACGCGAAAAGCGUGGGUAGCAAACAGG